rnacentral:rRNA from 1 species
GGGGCAAGCGUUGUCCGGAUUUAUUGGGCGUAAAGAGCGUGUAGGCGGCCUUACAGGUCAGCUGUGAAAACUCGAGGCUCAACCUCGAGACGUCGGUUGAAACCGUAUGGCUAGAGUCCGGAAGAGGAGAGUGGAAUUCCCGGUGUAGCGGUGAAAUGCGCAGAUAUCGGGAAGAACACCCGUGGCGAAGGCGGCUCUCUGGGACGGUACUGACGCUGAGACGCGAAAGCGUGGGGAGCGAACAGG